CACGUAGGGCGCAAGCGUUGUCCGGAAUUAUUGGGCGUAAAGAGCUCGUAGGCGGUCUGUUGCGUCCGCUGUGAAAACUCGGGGCUUAACCCCGAGCCUGCAGUGGAUACGGGCAGACUAGAGGUAGGUAGGGGAGAAUGGAAUUCCCGGUGUAGCGGUGAAAUGCGCAGAUAUCGGGAGGAACACCAGAGGCGAAGGCGGCGACCUGGACAGACACUGACACUCAACUACGAAAGCGUGGGGAGCAAACAGG
rnacentral:rRNA from 1 species